ensembl:lncRNA
ACAUCUGAGUACCAGUUGCUGACUUCAGACUGUUCUAAGUAGACUGCGAACCCUAGACUUGCUAUGGAUGUGAACUAGUCUGCUGAUAUGGACACCCCCUAUCUCUGCAACAGUGUCUGCUAACCAGAAGCCCCUGAUGGAUUCCCCGUUGCCUAAAUUCCUUUUUGUUUUUGACUAGCAUUUCAACCUUCUGGGGUCCUUAACUUCGUCCCAAAGUCAGCAGGAAGCAGUUUGGAAAAGAAUUUCGCCGUCCAUUCUCCCUGGUUGAAAUGCUAAGUCAAAGGGAACUUCCUUGCGAGGGGAUGCCAGUACCUAUCACUCCCUGAUGGGGACACUAGAGACUGGGUCCUCCUACUCCCCCUAGCAUACCCCUAGGCCAUAUGGGCUCACACCUUUAAAAAAAAAAAACUUAUAAAGACCAGAGGGACCAUCCUACCAUUCCCCAUUCCUACCAGAUCGGGGACACUGUCUGGGUCCGGCGUCACCAGACCUCAGCGCCUACCAGUUGUGAAACUGCCAUGCAGCACAAGCUCACAUUGUCUGAGGUCUCAGGAAAGGGGCUAUGCAUAGGCAGUACUGGUUUGACCCCCUGCGUCUCUACUACCGUUCUCAAUGCCACUAUUGACUUUUGUAUAUUGACAGAACUUUGGCCCAGGGUCACAUAUCACCAACCUGAAUAUAUUUAUAGGGUACUAGAGAAGUCAACCCGACAUAAGAGGGAGGCAAUAUCCUUUACCGUGGCCCUAUUAUUAGGAGGGAUAACAGUGGGGGGCAUAGCAGCCGGCAUAGGGACCGGAACCAUUGCCUUACAGGGAAUUAAUCAUUUUAAGCUUCUACAACAAGCCAUGCACACGGAUAUCCAGGUCCUAGAAGAGUCAGUCAGUGCACUCGAAAAAUCCUUAACAUCACUCUCUGAGGUGGUCCUGCAGAACAGACGAGGGUUAGAUUUAUCAUUUUUACAGACCAUACAGGAAUAGUUAGAGACAGCAUGGCCAAGCUUAGAGAAAGACCUAACCAGAGACCUUUGAAUGAAAGAUUUCAUUCAGUCACAAGAGAAAUGGGGGAAUGAAAGGCCCGCUGCCUCUCUGUCUCCCCCCGCCUAUGCUGAUGCUGGGUGUUCUCUCUGGAGCAGCCGGGAUGGGCUGGAGAGUGCAGCGCGGGGCGAUAAUUGUCCGGGAGCUGCUAGCUGCCGCAGAGCUGCCCUGCUUCACCUUCAUCCUGCUGUCCCUGCCCCCGCCGGCCUCCACUUCCCCCGGCUGCCGUUUUCCCUCCCAAGCCGGUUCACCCAGGCGGGGCUGCCCUGGCACCGCGCCCCGGGGCUGGGGCCGAGCAGGGAAAGGGCACCCCUCGCCCCCACGCCCCCCCCCGUUGAGAAACACUCCGUCCCAAGGUCUCCGCCCCCAAGGUCAGCCACCUGGGCGCGGAGGGAGGAAUCAAGUCUGUUGUACCAGACACCAGACCUUGAGAAUAUGCUGAUCUGGAAUGGCUCUGUGCCUCAUUUGAACCAUCAAAUAGAAUCCCUGCUCCUAGCUUGCGCCUUUUUCCCUAUAUAAGGACCCCUUUCCCUUGGCUCGGGGCGCUUGGCCUCAGAAAAGCUAAGUCGCCCCGGGUACCUGCGUCUCCAAUAAAACCUCUUGUUUUUUACAUCCAGUUCGUGGCCUCGCUGAUUCCUGGGUGUGAGUCUCCCUCUACGAAAGUGCCUCUUCGGGGUCUUUCAGCAGCACAGAGUUUCUGGGAGUAACAAGCCAGUAUCUCAUUUGGAACCCAAACACUACUUGAGGGACUAUGAGCCUGAAACCACAUAGCCAGGAACCUAUGGGAAGCUUCCUCCUGCAGCAGAUGGGAACAAAUACAGAGACCCACAGCCAGACAUUAUGCAAAGAGUGAGACACCUUGGAACACUCAGCUCCAAAAGGGAGGUCUCCAUCAAACCCCUCCCCUCAGGGUUCAGGGAGUCCUGCUAAUGAGGAGGCAGAAAGAAUGUAAAAGCAAGAGAGGUCAGAGGACAUCAAGUAAACAAAAAGUAACAUGACCAAAACUUCUAUGAACUUGCAGAGACUGAGGAAGCAUGCACAGUUACCUGCAUGGAUCUGCACCUGGUCCUUGGCAUGUAUAUUAUAGCUUCCACUUAGUAUUUUCUUUUUUUUUUUUUUUUGGAGUUUUAGAUAUGAAUGUGUGUCUCUGUUUCUUGUGCCCUCCCUUGGGCUCUUUUCUUUCUGUUUACUUGUUUUGUCCAAUUCUGCAUGUUAGUUUUGCUUUAUCUCAUUAUAUUUCAAUUUUAUUAUUAUCCCUUAGAAGACUGUUUAUUUUCUAAUGAGAGACAGUAGAGUGGGUCUGGAUGGGAAGGAAGGUGGAGAGGAGUUGGGAAGAGUAGAGGGAGGGGAAACCAUUUAAUCAGAAUCUAUUAUGUGAGAAAAAAUGUUGCAAUAAAUGGAAAAACAAAACAAACUACUGAAUGGCUUUAUUCAUUUAGUUUAAAUGGGUCAUUGUAACAACUUUGCUGAUCCAAGGCAGAAAAGUACAUUGCAGAAAAGUAAGCAGAACUAACUUGAGAGCUAGGAUUGGAAGAAAUGCUGUGAAAUGCUGUCUUCUGGAUGUGGUGUGGAUAUUGCACCCAUGAAAUUGCAGCAGCUUGGAUUAUCAGCAUAAGAUCAGAAGGCUUGCGUAAGACCAAGCCAAUCAAAAUUCCAGCACAGACGGGGCUGUGACUUCCAGAGCCUCACCUCUCACUAAGAAGUUAUUGUUGGUUGUUGGCUACUGAGAAAGGAAGAGUCACAUUCCCCUGGGAGUUUCACCACUGGUAGCUUGCUCAAGUCCUGUUGGAUAGCCUCCUACCCAUGUAUAGUGGGCAACACUAAUUGAACUUGAUUAAAAAAUGAAAGAAGGCAUGAUGUUUGGUGGAGAGACGUGUUAGGAGGUCCCAGAGGACAUGGGAGAAAGUAAUUAGGCGGUUAUAUGAUCUAUGUACAAUAUAAUAUAUGUAUAUAUAUAUAUAUAUAUAUAUGAAAUUUUCAAUAAAUAAAAUAUCAUUCAAAACUUACAUAAAAGGUAUUAUAGAUAAAGGUAACUAUGAAUAUUCAAAACACAAAUAUAGAUAUACAUUUUCUGUCUUCUAUUGACUGGUUUUAAGGGGUGACUAUAUAUGAAAAUGUAAAUCUAAAAUAAAAAGGACAAUAUUAAAUGCCCUGAUGAAACAGUCUCUGAUUGUUUGGACAUGACUUAGACCAAUAGGUCUAUGCUAUAUAAGUUUAUUAACUUUUUCAAUAUGUCAGAGUUGAUACAGAGGGUCUUGAAAAGGUGGAUCCUAGUAAAAGUUAAUUUAGUCAUGGAGGUUCUACUCCCAUGAAUGGAUGGAUGCAUUAUCUCAUCAGUCAUGUCCUAUUGGAAUGCAAUAGUUCCAUUAAUUUGAGUUGCUAUACCAAUAGCAUUAUUAGCCUCUUUCUAGUUUCCUAUUUCCUGUCUUUCCAUGCGAUAUCUCUCCUGUUUUCACGUAUGUUCCUAGCUAGCCGCCUUGUACAGUAGCCACAAGUUCCUCGCUUGGGACAAAAUAUAGGGAUCCUUCAAUGUUAUAGCUUCCAAACAGUUAUGCAAAUACCCAGUUUGCUUUAUGUAGUGACCAUCACCCUCCUAAAGUUGGGGCAGCAUGGCUAACAGUGAGCCGCUGACCACUGAAGUUAUGUAAAAAGAAAUAAAAAUCUAUCUUGCUUAAGCUAUUGCCUA